rnacentral:rRNA from 1 species
GACGAACGCUGGCGGCGUGCCUAACACAUGCAAGUCGAGCGAAUGAAGUUCCUUCGGGAAUGGAUUUAGCGGCGGACGGGUGAGUAACACGUGGGCAACCUGCCUCCUAGAGGGGAAUAGCCUUCCGAAAGGGAGAUUAAUACCGCAUAAGAUUGUCGUAUCGCAUGAUACAGCAAUUAAAGGAGCAAUCCGCGAUGAGUUGGGCACGCGGCGCCUUAGCUGGUGGGUGAGGUAACGGCGCACCAAGGCGACGAUGCGUAGCCGCCCUGAGAGGGUGAUCGGCCACAUUGAGACGGAGACACGGCGCAGACUCCUACGGGAGGCAGCAGUGGGGAAUACAGCAAAACGGGGGAAACCCAGAAGCAGCAACGCUGCGUGAGUGAUGACGGCCGGCGGGUAGUAAAGCUCGGUCUUCAGGGACGAUAAUGACGGUACCUGAGGAGGAAGCCACGGCUAACUACGUG